rnacentral:lncRNA from 10 species
CACUGCCAGACCAAAGGGAGGAAAGAAAGUUCUAGACAGGUGGCUCUGGGGUGGGUAGGGGCUGGGCAUUUGAGGAAUUUAAGAAGGCCCUCGUGGCCAAAGCUUGGUGAGCAGACAGUCAGCGGUGAGUAUGAGGUCAGACAGGCUGGCAAGGCCAGACCACAUAGGCACCAGCAGUCAGGAACAGGACACUGGUUUUCAUCCUAAGAGCGGUGGGCACCCACUCGAGGGGCUGGAGCCAAGGGUCAGGAAUUGAAAGAUGAGCUUUGAAAAGAGCAGGCUGGCAGGGGCCCCUUGCUCCUCAGAGACCUCUGCUUUUCUUUCUGGACUGGUCACAAGGCACACAGCACACCCUGCUGGCGGGCAUCUGCCUCCCCUCUUACUCUCCCCCAAACUAGAAAUGCUCCUCGCCUAUCUCUCGUUCACACAGAUGCUAAACAAAAUGCUUUGGAAACGAAACUAUUCCUCAUGGUCUAAAUUGAAACAGUCCACCUGUCCAGCAACUUCUGGUUACAUCUUGCAGCUGCCACCCCAAGACCUGCCUCCUAUCCAUGGCUGUCCUUGGUGGGUGAGAGGAUAAGAAAAGCCUGAAAAAUGUUUUAGAGGCCAUAAAGCAGUGGUCCCAAACCUUUCUGGUACCAGGAGCCAAUUUCAGGGAAGACACUUUUUCCACAGAUGGCAGCAGGGGUGCUGGCAGGGGGCAGAUAUGGUUUUGGGAUGAAACUGUUCCACCUCUGAUCAUCAGGAAUUAGAUUCUCAUAAGAAGCACGCAACUUGGAUCCCUCGCAUGCACAGUUCACAAUAGGGUUCGCACUCCUAUGAGAAUCUAAUGCUGCCACUGAUCUGACAGGAGGCGGAGCUCAGGCGGUAAUGCUUGUUCACCUGCUGUUCACGUCCUGCUGUGUGGCCCAGUUCUUAACAGGCCAUGGAUAGAUACUAGUCCAUGGCCCAGGGGUUGGGGACCCCUGCUAUAAAGAACAUUCUGGGUAUCAGUUAGAGCAGCUUAUUAGUCCCAUUUUACAGACGUGGAAAUUGAGACCAGAGGGACUAAGAGACUUACCAGAGGUCACACAGCAAGUUGAUAACAGCACUGAGAUUCAAGUAGUAUUAGUGGCAGCUACCAUUUACGAAGGGUUACUCAGUCCCAGGCACUGUGAUAAGCACUUUAUCUACAUUAAGCUUCACUGAUGCUAUGAAUUGUGUGGUAACUUUCCAUUUUCAAAUGGGAAAACUGAGACAGAGAAGUGGCAUGACCAAGGUCACACAGCAAGUAAGCUGAGGAGCUGGGAUGCAAAUUCAGAUCUGUGUGCACCAAGGGCCAGGCUCUGCCUACAGGACUACACUAGUUCCAGCUCGCUAAUUCACUGAUGGUCAUCUUAUUUAAUUUAAAUACAUCCCAGUGAUGAAAAAACAAACAAACAAACAACAAAAAACCCAAUACCAGAAAACCAAGGGAGGCCAGUGGGUACUGAUCUCAGGAGCCAGGUGCCCAGGUGCCCUGUCAGGUCCUGAUGCUGGCUUGUUACCAUUUAAUUUCAAUUUGAGACAUCUGAGACACAAGAAAGCUGUUCCGCUUUCAGAGAGCUUGGCCUUUCAGUUCGCUCUGGUUCUUAAACAUCAAAAUCCAGGUGUUCCUAAUGCCUGAAAUCUCAGGAUUUCCAAGGGCCUGAUCAGCAGCCAGAGAGACCAGGUCAAAGAGAAAAACACACACUGCUUCCAGAGCAUCCUUGGAAAUGUUUGUCCACCUUGCUCCAUUCACCCCACCCCAGAAUGGCUCCUACAAGAACCUCUUCCAUUUGACCAAAAUGUCAUUUUAUAUAUAUUUAAAUCUCUUCCUACAGAAAUGCCAGACCAUUGGAGUAAGGGCAGAUGUGUGCACAUAUAUACAAACACA